GUUAUAGGGUCAAGCGAACAAGUGCAUGUGGUGGAUGCCUUGGCGAUCACAGGCGAUGAAGGACGCGGUAGCCUGCGAAAAGCUACGGGGAGCUGGCAAACGAGCUUUGAUCCGUAGAUGUCCGAAUGGGGAAACCCGGCCCUUUUGGGUCAUCCUAGACUGAAUACAUAGGUCUAGUGAGGCGAACGCGGUGAACUGAAACAUCUAAGUAACCGCAGGAAAAGAAAUCAACCGAGAUUCCCAAAGUAGUGGCGAGCGAAAUGGGAAGAGCCUGUACUCUUUAUUUGUAUUGUUAGCCGAACGCUCUGGAAAGUGCGGCCAUAGCAGGUGAUAGCCCUGUAGGCGAAAACAGUAUGAAAGAACUAGGUGUACGACAAGUAGGGCGGGACACGUGAAAUCCUGUCUGAAGAUGGGGGGACCAUCCUCCAAGGCUAAAUACUCGUGAUCGACCGAUAGUGAACCAGUACCGUGAGGGAAAGGCGAAAAGAACCCCGGGAGGGGAGUGAAAUAGAUCCUGAAACCGCAUGCAUACAAACAGUCGGAGCCUCUUCGGGGGUGACGGCGUACCUUUUGUAUAAUGGGUCAGCGACUUACGUUCAGUAGCAAGCUUAACCGAAUAGGGCAGGCGUAGCGAAAGCGAGUCCGAAUAGGGCGUUCAGUUGCUGGGCGUAGACCCGAAACCAGGUGAUCUAUCCAUGGCCAGGAUGAAGGUGCGGUAACACGUACUGGAGGUCCGAACCCACUAACGUUGAAAAGUUAGGGGAUGAGCUGUGGAUAGGGGUGAAAGGCUAAACAAACCUGGAAAUAGCUGGUUCUCUCCGAAAACUAUUUAGGUAGUGCCUCGUGUCUCACCUUCGGGGG
rnacentral:rRNA from 1 species